CUAGUCAGAGGACAGCUCCUCAGGGGGCCCCCAGUUCAAUCCAAUCCCAUGGCCAACCCCAACCUGGAAGGGGGUAGGACCACCAGAAGGAGGCCAGAGGGGCCAUGUUUUUGAUGCCUGUGCCUGAGCACAGCCCUCUGGAUUCUCAGGAGAGCAUCUUGCCCAGACCUGAGGACUGGCAGGAGGCAGGCCAGAAGGACAAUUUAGAUGACUCAGCAACUCAACUCAGCAGCCACUCCAGGACUGGGUCCCUCUCCCCGCAACUGGAAGGGAUGAAAAGAGCCACUUGCUGGGGACGUUUGUGGAGGCAGGAAGAUGAUGUAAGGGAAGCACCUGCACAGGACCAUGCUGGAGCCACGGGCACCACAAUCACGUCCUUCAUGAAGAAAACCCAGGCCCACGGGGCAGAGCUGGGCACCUAGCACGGCCGUGGCUGCCACUGGGCCACCACUGAGUGGAUGCUGUGCCCGGGCACUGGCCUCCCUGCCUUUGCUGGGGCCCAGCUUGAGCCAGAUUCAGAUGCUGAGGGAUUUCUGGAGAACCCCUGGGAAACUCCAGAGAAAGGGGAGGUGCCAAGAUGCCCGACAGAUGCUCCCCAGGAGGACCACAGGCCUGGAGCUGCAACUCUUGAAUCACCCAUCUUUUUCCCCAGAAUUGAUUGGCCUGAAUUUAUCUACCCAUCUGUAUUUUUAGUUCCGUAAUGCUUUUCUUUUUUUCUUUUUUUUUUUUGCUUUUCAGGGUCACACCUGCGGCAUAUAGAGGUUCCC